UGUCGCAACCGGCGGCCGAGCAGUCCCUCGCUAUCGCCUGACCGCUUAGCUUGCCCGCGACGCUUUCUCAGAACCAGUCUGUGUGUCAGUUUCGAGAGACGCACAUAUACACUAAACACACUGUAUACUGUACACUACGUCAUCGGAAAAAUUACCAAAUAUUGUAUCGUCAAAUAAAGUUACAAACAGUCUCCUACCUAGUAAGUUUGCGUGCUGUUCAUGCCAAGACACGUCUUUGCAAGGUGUCAGGAUCGCUUUCAGUGAAAACAAAAAAAAGUAGUGCGUCCCACCACCGACGUAAGGACACAGGCGCCGGGAGUUGAAACUUCAUCAUUCACGACGCUUGGGUUUCUUUAUUUUUUCCGUUUGAAUUUUACGUUCAGGCACUGUUGGUGUUUUUUUCCGGGUAAUUUUCGUCUAACUUUGGAUUGACAGCUAAGGAUUGCGUGCUUCAUUUUCUUUGUUGGCUGGUGAUUUUGCUGGAGCCGGUGCUGCUGCGAAACUCCUACCUCGUCUGGAUUUCUUAUACCGCCACCGAAGAAGUCAUCUUCAGAAGACACCGGAUUUGCAAUAUGCGCUAGAACCGACAAUCGCUUCGCUUUGCCUACCUGCUUAUCUGCAAACUACAAGAAUCACUUCGAUUUGAAGCUCCUUUCUCCGCCGCCAACCCGUUAGCAACAACGCCAAUAUUCAAAACUACAACACUAGAAGAGUACAAGAACACAGUGACCUAAGUUUAUUUUUGUAUCGGUCUCCAACAGUUCUAAGUAACGUGCGUUAUCGAUCUGUCGUGUUGUUCCUACAACAAUCUCUCGAAAGAAUGGACAAUAAUUCCACCUGAUUUAAUUCCUGCGAAACUCAACUAUAUUUGGGUGAACCGUCGCGCUUCGUCCAGUGUUUUUCGCGUCCAAUUUGUACGAAUUAUUGUUAAAAAACACUUCAGCUCUACGCGCAAUGGCAAUGGUCAACAUGAAUAAUUUACUCAACGGAAAAGACUCCCGCUGGCUCCAGCUAGAAGUCUGCAGAGAAUUCCAAAGAAACAAGUGUUCUAGACCCGACACUGAAUGUAAAUUUGCACACCCACCCGCCAAUGUAGAGGUCCAGAACGGUCGCGUCACGGCUUGCUACGACAGCAUUAAGGGUCGAUGUAAUAGAGAAAAACCUCCCUGCAAGUACUUCCAUCCACCGCAACACCUCAAGGACCAGCUUCUUAUAAACGGUAGAAACCACUUGGCAUUAAAAAAUGCACUUAUGCAACAAAUGGGCCUAACACCCGGACAACCCCUAGUUCCUGGCCAAGUUCAGGCGGUAGAGGUGGACUCGACAGUAGACAGCCUUCCUUUGACCUUCUUCCCCAAUUUCUCCAUGUCAAUAGAUGAGCAGUACGCAGUCAUGGCCGCCAAUCCGUACCUGACGGGAAUGCCUCAAGUUGGCAGUACAUACAGUCCGUAUUUCGCACCGGGUCCUAUAAUGCCUACAAUUAUGGGUCCAGAUCCUACUGGAGUGGGAUCACCAUUGGGCGUAGUUCCACAAACAGUUGUAGCGCAACAAAAGAUGCCUCGUUCCGAUAGACUAGAGGUGUGCCGCGAGUACCAGCGCGGGGCGUGCAAGCGAGCAGAGUCAGAGUGUCGCUUUGCGCAUCCCGCUGACUCUGUAACUGCCAACGAGGACGGCACUGUCACUGUCUGCAUGGAUGCAGUCAAGGGCCGCUGCAACCGCGACCCCUGCCGCUAUUUCCACCCCCCUCUGCACCUCCAAGCCCAAAUCAAGGCCGCACAGUCGCGGGCUAGCGCGCCCGCUGCCGUCUCGCCCUUGCUGGCGCCUCCCCAGGCUACCGCCGCCCUCGAAAUCGGCAAGAAGAGGCCCCGUGAGCCUAGCACCGCCGACACAGAUCUAUUACUGAUGGAUAUGAAAUCUGUUGGGUCAUUUUAUUAUGAUAAUUUUGCCUUCCCGGCCAUGAUGCCAUACAAGCGGCCGGCGGCGGACAAGUCCGGAGUGCCUGUAUAUCAACCAAACGCGACCACUUAUCAACAACUGAUGCAGCUGCAGCAGCCGUUCGUGCCCGUCUCAUUUACUGGACACCCUCCCGGUGUGCCAAGAUUUUAAUCGUGGUCUUUGUAACCGGCCUGCCUGCAAAUUUGUACAUCUACAGGAAGGAGAUGGGGUGGAAGUGGUGGAUAAUCGAGUGGCCGUUUGCCGUGACGCUGCGAAGGGACAGUGCUCUCGUUCCACCUGUAAAUACUACCACAUCCCAAUAGCGCUGCCACCAGCACCUGUCAUGGCUGCCUUGGCCUCUUACCUGCAGUAGUCACAACGACAAACACCGAACCGUUUAUUUAUGUCAUGUUUAUAAAGAACUUUUUAUUAUUAUAUUGUAUAAUGGUCAUAUAAUGACAAAAAAUGUUUGUGUUUAAAUUAGUUUUUUGAUUGAAUAGUGUAGUACAGUAAGAUUAUCUGAGUGACUGAAUGUCCUAUGUCAGAACAAAAAGUUAUUAUAAUAACAUUAAAAAUCUGUUUGACAAAUGUCUUUACACUGUGUCGUGUCGGAAAUUCGUCACUAUACAUAUGUAAGGUAUUGCGUAUUGAUCCAAUGAAACUGGCUUUCCCAAACUGUUACCGGUUGUAUACUACUACCGGUAACUCAUAUAGACUGUGGCCGAUGCAGCAUGUCUGUAGAUUAAAAAAAAGUUUGUGAUAGAUGUUAAAUUUGAGGGAGCAGAUUUUUGGAUUUAUACAUAAUAUGUUCUAAACGCGUGAUAUUGAAUUUUUUUACCUUGUUUUAUGUAGGGUCGUUACCGUUUCCGAGACGAGUUCUGCAUAGGGCGUUCUGCUAUCUCAUAGGUGCAACACGCCACCCUAUAUUCAUUGUUAUCAACAAAUUAUUAAAAAAAAAGAAUGAACGUCCCGCGGGUUCGACCCAGGCAGUGGGCCAGAGUCAACAAUAGUCGAACUGGGAGAUAUCUGGAGCAUCAUUAUUAGUUCCAGAGUAUUCAUAAGCUGUGUUAUUAAAUUUUUUAAAGUUUCGUUUUAUAUUGCUGUGAUUUUGUAUAUUGGUGUUAGAUGUUUCAAACUGUGACAUAUUCUAAAAUAUUAUUAUUUGUAUAUUUAAAAAUUGUACGAGAAAGUUAUGACGACGUUCUGUAGGGUCCAUGAAAGUAAUUUGUGCUUUUGUAUAACAUACACUGGCGUUACUAAUGGGACCGUUGAGAAUUUGACUGAAGUAACUUUUUCAAAAUAUACUCGCGCGUAUUUUUAAGAUGCCUGUAUGGUUUUCAGACGAAACUACAUUAUAAACCUCGGGCUGAUGAUCAAUUCGUCUAGUCAAAAUCAAGUAGGUUUGUUUUUUUAGUUUAUUAAUAUUAAUAAUUUACUUUAUAACUCGAUAUCUCCCGACCAAGUGCCACAAUUAAGAAUUGAACUCGAAACACAAAUGUUCCUGAAAAGCAUUUAAAGUAAGUUCCACAGUCCGACAGUCUGGUAUUAAAGGGCGAGAUGGGGCGCCAUGUGUGAUAUCGGGUGGUCUGUCUGAGUGAGUGCUGUUAUUAUGAUUAUUAAUUAUUAUAUUGUACAUAGAUAUAGGUCGUAUCGGACAAACUCGCAUUAUUGGAGUUAUUUUAUUCAUCUACUUGAUAAUAUUUAAAUAAAAAUUGCUAGGAUUUAACAAAUUAAGUAUUAAACAACUUGUUACGUAAAUAUUGUAACUAAUCAGGUCUUUCCCUUUAAUACCAUGAUAGAGUGAGAGCUUCCACAGUCAGAGCGCGGGUCUCUGCUUUGCUUAGUGCAUUUGCAUCGUUUGCUAGGUUAGCUCUUCUCUUGGGUUGCGCUGUUUAUGUGCCCCUGCCAUUCCCGCUGUUGUUCGAUCUGCAGUUCUUUACAUAACAGUUUACAGUAAUAGUAUGAAUAAAUUCACGCUUUCCUUUAGGCCUAGUCUGCAGAUCCGAACAGCAAGAGACAGUUGAAUAUUACGUGUCUGUACAGUACCCAUGCUAUAUUAUUAUUAUUAUAGUCCAUAGUUAACCUUACCUAGAAUAAUUUCCUAACAUAUAACAUUAUAUUAUCUUGCAUGUCCCUAGAUCAAAUAUUACGUCUUGUUCUAUACUUAAUAUAGUUAUAGAUUUAGCUGUUUCUUAGCGAUAUUUCUUCAUUUGCGUGAAAAGUUGAAAUACGAGUCUUGCAAUUUUCUUUGCGUUUUCACCCUACAGACCCGAGCUUAAUUUUAAAAACGCUUAAGCUUUUUAACCACACAAGUUGAUGAGAUCAUGGCAAAAUUAUAUUAUCUGUUUGACUUUUUUCAUUACUAUUAUUUCAAAUGAGAGGGAAAGCUGAGGAAGAUUAAAAAAUUCUAAUCCAGUUUGGCUUCCAUUUUUAUUGCAUUUUGUAUAAUAAUACAUUUUGACAAUGUUUUCCUCUGUUACCCUCUAAAGUUAAAUUACCUUCAUUUAUCGUUCUUAUUGUAUAGUUGUUGUUGAUGAUACUUAAAGAUUUUAAAAGCGUUUGGUGAUUUUGCUAACUACUUUAUACAAAGUCCUUUUUGAAGUGUCGCUUCCUCUUAAAGAGUAAUUAUAACAAAAAAGAACGAACACCAAUUAUGCCGUUUACACAUUAUGUAUAUAUGUAUAUGUAAUACCAGACCAGAAAAAAAAUGUAAUUGUACUUUACGAAUAUUUGUUAUUGAUUUUUUACUAAUGUACAGUAGAAAUGACAAUAUUAAUUUGUAAGUGGUUUGGUUUUUUUUUUAUCUACGUAAUGUGUUAACAGCGAGGGAGACUAUCAUUAAUGCACAUAAUUGCUUUGGGUUAUAUAAAAUUCUUUGCUAUGCUUAAAGCAGCUAUUGCUAAAUGCCUCGAGCUUUGCUGACAGACAAUGUGAUCUAUUAUUACUUACGGCUUUGGUUUUGUUGUGGUUGUUUAUGGAAUUUGUUCUCUCUCUUUCUCUCUCUCUCUCUGGAGUCUGUCAGUUGCCAUUAAAUCUUUACGUAGCACGUAGGUUUUUUUUUUAAAUUGAUCUAUUUUUAUAUAUUUAUCUGUCUUGUUGAUUUGUUUUGUGUUUUUUUUUUGUUGUUUUGGUAACUGACAACUGGCGAGUUAUGUUUUGUGAGAUUUCUUAUCCUUAAGUAGUAUUGACCUGCGCAAUAAUCAGGUCACCUAGCAGGCUGCCCAUUUUUAACCUAAUUGUUGUUAUUGAUAUAUUUUUAAAACAUCUGAAAAAAUACCUGAAAAUGAUAACAGAGUGAAUUUCUUAUAUGAGCCACAUAGAAGAGGACUUUUUAAUAUCUGCUAAUCAAAUACAGUAAACACUAUUUGUAUAAAAUAUACUUUGUAUAUAGUGGCUCAUUAUUUUUUCAUUUAUCAACAACAAUUUUGUGAUAUUUUAGUAAUGAUUGUUAUUUAAGUCACAUCACAAAGCAAACGAUUAGCUGUUUGCAUCGUCUGUUAAAAAACAAACGCAUAUGAAGCAUCCGAGCCAUCUGCAUUUGUUUUUCAUCAGUUCUGUUAAGCAGUUCCACGGAAAAACUCCUUCCUUGAGUCGAGCUAAAUCAACUAUUGUAUACCGAUUAGUAGUCUCAAUGGACGAGAGGUUCCUGGUGCAUUAAUUUUAGGAAUUUCUUUACAAUAAUCCUGUGAAGGGGCGAGGUUAUUCAGGAAUAAGGAGAAACUUGCAGUUAUUUUUUGAAAGAUAUAAAUUAUAAAAAUAUUAUCAAAUAUAGUGAUAUUUAAUUAACGAUCACUAAACUUACGUGUAAAACUGAUUAAAUAUGAAUGUAUGCAUGAUAUUUAAGCGGACGUCGUAACCAUGGUAUUGGAAUCUAUCUUCUUAUUGCUGAAUAAUAGACAGGCAUGUAGAAAGACAUUAUUUGGUUUGAUUGGGGCCACGUGAUUGAUAUAUCAGUUUGGUUCUACCUACAUGAGUGUUGAUAUUAAAAUUAUUUAUUCUUGUAUAACUCUUAUAUAAAAAUAUCAUUGUGUUGGGGGCCAUUUUUCACCGGUUGGAAUUGCACUUUUCUACAUGCCUGUCCGUGGUGGAGUGUGUGAACUAUAUAUUUGAUAAAGUGUGUGAUUAUACAGUUGAUUUUUAUGUAGGGAAGUUGCCGACUGUCCUUGCCUUCAGUAGGUACUCUUGUCAGGAUUGUGUUAAUCAAAUUGUGCCAUACAUGAUAAAGAUGUAGCCCGUUCUGAUACGAUAUUUAUUAUCACUAAUCUCAAACUUCAACAUUCAAGUUUAUUUCAUGAUCUUGUUCUCUUCAUUAAGUAUUUUGUAAUCUUUUUAAUAAGUACUCUAAGGUAGUCAAACAUUUUGUCAAGUUUCCAUGUUCACGUUAUGUCUUAUAGACAUGAAUUGAUUAUUGAUAUAUUACCUAUUGUUUAUUAUUAAUUAAUAUAAGAAUAAACUAAUGAUGUGAUGAUGAUCGGUAGAUCAUACAACGGGGGCUUUUAAGCCUACCAUUUUCUGAAUAUAGUAGAGUUAAUAAACCAUUAUGUGAAAUUU